AACGAACGCUGGCGGCGUGUUUAAGACAUGCAAGUCGCACGGGAUAAGACAUGUAGUAAUACUUGUUUUAUUUAGUGGCGCACGGGUGAGUAACACGUGAAUUACAUGCCCUAUAGUGGGGAAUAGCCCAGGGAAACUUGGAUUAAUACCCCAUGGUAUCGAAAGAUUAAAGGUGGCCGCAAGGCUGUCGCUAUAGGAUUGGUUCGCGCCCUAUCAGCUUGUUGGUGAGGUAACGGCUCACCAAGGCAAUGUCGGGUACCUGGUCUGAGAGGACGAUCAGGCACAAUGGAACUGAGACACGGUCCAGACACCUACGGGUGGCAGCAGUCGAGGAUAAUUCACAAUGGGGGCAACCCUGAUGGUGCAACGCCGCGUGGAGGAUGACGGUCUUCGGAUUGUAAACUCCUGUCAUCUGGGAGAAAGACCUGACGGUUAAUAGCCGGCAGGGUUGAUAGUACCAGAAGAGGAAGGGACGGCUAACUUCGUGCCAGCCGCCGCGGUAA
rnacentral:rRNA from 1 species